CAGCGCUGUCCCGCCUUCGCGCUGCCCCGGGCCUCCCGCGGCGGCCUCGCCCUGUCAUCGCUGAGGGAGCGCGGUUUCAGGGGUCUCGUGGACCCCCGGAGAGGCCGGGGGGGGGGGCGGGUAGGUGCGGGUCCCUCUGCCACCACACAGCGCCUGGUGUAUACCUGUCCGGGACUGAGGCUCCAGGAAGAGUCUUGCUUCACCUGCCAUUUGUGCAAGAGGAAUCCUCAGUGAGCUCUCCCACGUGCAGCCCCAGGCCCCCGAACUUGCAGAUUCCGAAUUCCGGGUGCGCACCCGAAGGCAGGGCGCUGCCGGUCCUGAGCCAGGGGUUGCAGAGAGGAACAAGCCGAGAAGCGCCGUGCACGCGUGUGCCGCUCACGCAGGGCACACGCGCCCCGCAGUACCGGGUCCCCACAGCACAAAACACAGACCCUGCCUUUAUGAGUUGUCACUGUAACGGGGAGAUACAGACGAUGCACCUAUGUCCCGCAUUUCCCCGCUGAGCCGGGCGAGGGCUGCUGAGAAUGGCCCCUGGAGGCGUCUCGGCCUUCGGUCCGGCUCGCUCACGUACAGCACAAGCUACAAGUGCAGGAUCAAGUUGGGGGUCACCCUUCCUCUUACCGCGAGGGAGCUGCUCGACGGCCCGACAGGCCGCCCAGAAGACUUCUGCCAUUACGGUGAUAAUUACAACGCCCACUGACCUAGCUUGGUAAUGUCAAGUAUGUGACAUCCGUGACGCCCUCCCACCAGUGUCCUCCUAAGGCCAACAAUCUCAGGUAACAAGGGCUUGUGGAUGCAUUUUGGGACAGAGGACGUCCAGGCCUAUUGCCAUGCCCGCUGAGCUGGACCAGCAGACGCUUGAGUGGAUUCUGUGGUCUGCAUCCGACAGCUCUGACGACAGCCCAUGCCACGGAGGGAGUGCGUCUGCCUGUGGCCGAGUCCUUCCCGCUCCCUCGCAGGCCUUCAGAGAGAUGCCUUCUGAGCAAAGAGCCCGCCUUCCCCUGGGACCAGGCUGCACCACUCUCUGGUUCUAGGUCAGUGUCCUUUCCUGCAGCAGAAGCCCAGGUUCUCUGGGAGUUCUCCAAGCUUCCAGGUGCAGACGGGGUUCCUGUUCCUGGUACCCCUGGUAGACAGUAAACAGCUCACCUGGGCGCGUACCUUCCAAAUGCAAAGCAAUCAAUCCAGAGCCCGCACCAACUGCUUCCUCAAUAGGGCUCCCACCCUCCAGGCCACUUUCCACCUGCCCUGAUCGGCCCUGGACCAGGUACCUGACAACCAAGGGCCGCCCAUUAUGCUGAGAGCGGACUGCAAGUAUUCCCACUGGCCAGUCCUAGGCCUUCUUACCCUGUCCUGCCUGUUCCUUUGCGGGAAACACAGGAAAGGUCCUUGCCCACACCAUCCCCUCAGCCCCUCUGCCUCCUGACCACUCUGCUGCUUCCUGGUGUGGCCCUGUGGUGUGGCAGGCUCCCUUCCCUUGGAAUCUGUGCGUAGACCCCUUUUUUGAAGGGUGCCGACUCCUGACCAGUUGGCCUUGCCAUAUGUAAACAAUAAUAAAACCUAUACUUUAAAACACCCCUUUAUCCAUUCAUCCAUUUAGAGUAUCUGUGUCGGCCUCUUAAGUGCCACAAUUCUAGGCCCCAAGAACCCAGUCAUGAGCCAAUCGGACACUGUUGCUGUCUUUAUGAAGUAUAAUUAGAGCAACAACCAUGAAACAAAUAAUCGUACAAAUAAAUGUAUAAUUAAAAAACAUGACAAAGUAAAGGAAGAAAAAAAUUACAGGGUACUAUGUGAGCAUCAGGGAGCAGGAUGUGGCUUCUGAACUAAGGCCCGAAGAGUGGUGAACAUUUAGAGAGAGAGAAUAGCACGUGCAAAGGCCCUGAGGCAGGACAGGGUGUGUCAGAGGAGAGGGGAUGAGGAUGGUUAUGGCAGCAGACAUUUGCAGAGGGGUGGGCAGGACUGGAUCAUGCAAAGCUUCUAACGACAUCGUAAGGAUUUUGGAAUUCUUCCCAAAAGUAACCACAUAUCUUUGGAGGGCUUUUAAGUGGAAGGUUCCUUUUCUAAAAGACCGCUUGGCUGCUGCGGAUGGGUUACAGGGAGGACCGAAACGGGAGCAGGAAGGAGACAAGUGCCAAGAUGCAAAGUGCUGUGGGCUAGGAUGGGGAGGGAGAGACCAGUCACGGGGAUGACUCUGAAGUUAGAACUGACAGCACCUAGUGACACGGUGAAUGUGAGCGUGACAGAGAGGGAGGAGCGGAGGCUGGGUGGCCGUUGGUCUGGCCCUGGGCAGAAGGGACGUGGGGAGUAUGAGACAGCUUGAGUUCCUCCUGUGUAAGCAGCUCUCCGCCUCCCAGAGCCCCAGGCAGGCCCAGCUCCUGAGCCCAGCGUCCCUUCCUAGCGGUCUUAGAGGUUGAGGGAGAGGCCAAAGCAUCUGUUGGUGGGUUCCCUGCUGCCAGCGGACUGGGACCUGGGGCCAGCUCCCAGCUUACGUCUGCUGCCUGACCCCAGCAUAACCGAGGGAUCCGGGGAGGAGGAGGCGGUGUGGAUAACAGGAUAUGGAUUUUCUCUCCCCCUCAUCUUUAAUCUUUCUUGAAAGGAAUCAUUUGCCUUUUGGGGGGAGGCUGGGGGCAGGGUAGAACUUUUCCAGGACGAAUAAGAUCUCUCCUUGGGUAACUGGGUAUUUUAAAAACUGGCACCCCCUCGCCCCCUCAGCUACCUAGCGCCUGCCACCCCAUGCAUGGAGAACGAGAUUUUCUGUUGCUAAGAAAAUGAGGCUGGCUGUUUUUUAAGACUCAGAUUUAUUUAAGUAAAAAUUUUCAUACAAUAAAAUGCACCCUUUUUGAGCAUAUAACUUGAUGUGGGUUUUUCUUCUUCUUCUUCAGUUCAGUGGAUUUUUACAAGUGUCCACACCCAGGUAACCGCCAGCCGGCAUCACUGUGAUGCAGACUCUUUCCAUCACCUCCGAAAUCCCCUUGGGCCCCUUGCCGUCAAUUCCUGUCCCCAGCUCAGGAAACCACGAUUCGCUUCACCUGCCAUUACAAGGUAGCUUUUGCCCGUUCAAGAAUUUCACAUGGAUGGGCUCAUAGGGCAAGUGACUUUUGUGUCUGGCUUUUUUUACUUAGCCUCAUGUUGUAAAAACAUCCCCUCGCGUCACCAAUCAGUUUAAAAAUGACACCACGUGGGCGUAGCACCUUUUCGCUGUUGCUGUGUCUGGGCAGGUAGGGCUGCUGGCUGGUAAGUACCAGGCACGGAGGCUGCAGGCAAGCCACGGGAGUGCUGUGUGAGUGUCCACUGGUGUCCUUGCCAGAGUCCCAGCCGGGCUUGGGUACCAGCAAGUCACCCCUAAGGGGGAGCCCACCUAAGCUUCCCGUCCCAUCAGAUUCAAAGCAGCGUUUUGUGGUCGACCACAAUACAGAAUUCAUGCUGCAAACAGGCAGGGACACAGACGCCUCUGGUGGUCCUGCUUCAGGAUCUGCCCCAGGAUGUUCUCCCACAUCCUGACAUCCGUUUCCAUUCCGGUAGGGACCUCCCUCCAUCCUGGACGUCACCCUGGACGUUCCAUCUCCUGUCUCUACCUCCACAUGUAGCCUUUGUUUACCAUUGAUUGGUCCACUGGCCUCAUUUGUUCCCCAGUUCUGAGGGACCCCCUCCAGAAGCUCACCCCACAGGCCGUGGGCCAGGAGGAGCCUGAGCCUGUGGGGUGGGGUCUGUGCUUCCGUUCCUCAGGUUGAGUGGCUGCCACUUUUAUAAAGAUGUGAAAACAUUACACAGAGUAAACACAUUUCAAAAUAUCACUUGAAGAGACAACAUUUUUCACCCCUAUGUUAAGCCAUAAGAAAAUCCCGCACAUUUUAGGUUAUUACAGCAUCAGGAGAGUCUCGCUUCAUCAUAGAAAGAAAAGUUUUUGCAGAUAAAUUGUUGACAGUAACAGAGGAAAGACUAGAAAACGGAAACUGAAAAAUUAUUAUAUAUAAUUAAAAUAUUGGUUUAAAGAUCUGGGGUUAAAAAAACAAUACCUCAAGAGGUCCAAAGCCAGCAGACAAAUCAAUUGAAUCGAGCGUGACAGGCUCAAAACGACAGAGGAGCUACUGAAUGAACUAAACGAAUUCGAGGGUUUGAUAAAGUUUGAAGAUGAACUUUCAGUUGAACACCUUUGGUGAGGUUUAAGCGAGACCCCUAGGCCACAAUAACUCCUAUGUUCCAUAAAAAUUUAUCCUUAAUGGAAGAAAGAGCUCUAACUCUUGUAGACAAUUUUUUACUUAAUAGUUUUAAAAGAUGUUCUUUUCAUGACAUGGUAAUUACACAUGACCGAGUCUCAUUUUAAGCACUUACACCUCAUUUUCCUAAAUAUCAUGCAAAGUGCAUGAAAUUAGGAAGGCCCAGCUUUUAAACUGUAAUUCCAGUCACCUCCAGGUUUUCUUAGGAAAUGACUGCGUAUGGAGUCAGUAAUUCUACGUAAACAGAGCAUGUUGAAAGGGUCGAGACCCCAACCCCACGUGCCCACUGGGCUCCCGGUGUGGAAACCAGAGAGGGUUUUGCCAAGAGGUGGGGUGGUUCCAGGUGAAUGGCUGGCCCCUGGGAGCAGUGGUAUGGCAUGGCGGGGGGACAUAAAUCCCUGUACACAUAAUAGCAUAAGUCUCCCCCAACACGUCAACUUCAUUUCCUUGUCUCACCAAUAUCCCAACUUUCCAGACCACGGAAGAAAUGUACUGGCAAAAAAAUGUAAUUAGACAUAAACAUGAUAGAAACCGCUAUUGGCUGUGCAGCUGGAUUCUACACCUUCUAUGACUGUUCUGCUCCAGUGUAAACAUCCCAGCUUUGCUUCUAUUCAGUCCGGGUAAAGACUGAAAGCGAGGCAGACUCUGGGAGCGCGUGAGAAGUGGCCGAGACCCAGCGGGGACUCAGUGCAGGAAUGGGACAGGAGGAGGUGGCACUGUCCGGGGAUCCCGGCAGGUGGGAGGAGGGCUGGGGCCCUGGGCACAGGGCCUCGAGUGGAGGGUCAGCAGCCGGCUGCCUUGUUGCUGCAGCCCCUCGAUGCCCUGCACCUGGGCAGGCGGCAGACAGAGCCCCAGGAAGCACAGGCAGCAGCAGGAGUGCGCGUGCUCCAGACGUGUGGUCAGCAUCACGCGCUUCCUACUCACCAGUGUGGACUCACCUUCCAGCUCAUUUGAAGGAUGUUUGUUUGUAGUUUUCUUACUCACCUAAUGACAGAGGGUGUUUUCCAAGGUCUUCAGCCAAUCCAAGA